rnacentral:rRNA from 1 species
GUGGGGAAUAUUCCGCAAUGGACGAAAGUCUGACGGAGCAACGCCGCGUGAGUGAUGAAGGUUUUCGGACUGUAAAGCUCUGUUGUUUAGGACGAAAGUGCCUGUUGCAAAUAGUUACAGGUAUUGACGGUACUGAACGAGGAAGCCACGGCUAACUACGUGCCAGCAGCCGCGGUAAUACGUAGGUGGCAAGCGUUGUCCGGAAUUAUUGGGCGUAAAGAGCAUGUAGGCGGGAAUCUAAGUCUGUUGUGAAAAUGCGGGGCUCAACCCCGUAUUGCGAUGGAAACUGGGUGUCUUGAGUGCAGGAGAGGAAAGGGGAAUUCCCAGUGUAGCGGUGAAAUGCGUAGAUAUUGGGAGGAACACCAGUGGCGAAGGCGCCUUUCUGGACUGUGUCUGACGCUGAGAUGCGAAAGCCAGGGUAGCGAACGGGAUUAGAUACCCUGGUAGUCC